rnacentral:rRNA from 1 species
UACGUAGGGCGCAAGCGUUGUCCGGAAUUAUUGGGCGUAAAGAGCUCGUAGGCGGCCUGUUACGUCUGCUGUGAAAUCCCGGGGGCUUAACCCCGGGCGCGCAGUGGAUACGGGCAGGCUGGAGGCAGGCAGGGGAGAACGGAAUUCCCGGUGUAGCGGUGAAAUGCGCAGAGUAUCGGGAGGAACACCGGUGGCGAAGGCGGCGACCUGGUCCGAUACUGACGCUGAGGCGCGAAAGCGUGGGGAGCAACAGG